GAUGAACGCUGGCGGCGUGCCUAAUACAUGCAAGUCGAACGAGAUCUUCGGAUCUAGUGGCUCACGGGUGAGUAACGCGUUGGUACCUACCCUGCAGUGGGGAAUAACUGGCCGAAAGGUCGGCUAAUACCGCAUAAUACCGCAAGGUUAAAGUCGUAAGACGCUUCGGGAGGGGCCUGCGUCUCAUUAGCUAGUUGGUGGGGUAACUGCUCACCAAGGCGACGAUGGAUAGCUGGAUCGAGAGGUUGACCAGCCACACUGGGACUGAGAUACGGCCCAGACUCCUACGGGAGGCAGCAGUAAGGAAUCUUCCACAAUGGGCGAAAGCCUGAUGGAGCAACGCCGCGUGCAGGAUGACGGUCUUCGGAUUGUAAACUGCUUUUAUAUGGGAAGAUUAUGACGGUACCAUAUGAAUAAGCACCGGCUAACUACGUGCCAGCCGCCGCCGUAA
rnacentral:rRNA from 1 species